AGCGAACGCUGGCGGCAGGCCUAACACAUGCAAGUCGAACGAACUCUUCGGAGUUAGUGGCGGACGGGUGAGUAACACGUGGGAACGUGCCUUUUGGUUCGGAAUAACUCAGGGAAACUUGUGCUAAUACCGAAUGUGCCCUUCGGGGGAAAGAUUUAUCGCCAUUAGAGCGGCCCGCGUCUGAUUAGCUAGUUGGUGAGGUAACGGCUCACCAAGGCGACGAUCAGUAGCUGGUCUGAGAGGAUGACCAGCCACACUGGGACUGAGACACGGCCCAGACUCCUCCGGGAGGCAGCAGUGGGGGAUCUUGCGCAAUGGGCGAAAGCCUGACGCAGCCAUGCCGCGUGAAUGAUGAAGGUCUUAGGAUUGUAAAAUUCUUUCACCGGUGACGAUAAUGACGGUACCCGGAGAAGAAGCCCCGGCUAACUUCGUG
rnacentral:rRNA from 1 species